GAUGAAGAACGUAGCGAAAUGCGAUAAGUAGUGUGAAUUGCAGAAUUCAGUGAAUCAUCGAAUCUUUGAACGCACAUUGCGCCCCUUGGUAUUCCAUGGGGCAUGCCUGUUCGGGCGUCAUUUGUACCUUCAAGCUCUGCUUGGUGUUGGGUGUUUGUCUCGCCUCUGCGUGUAGACUCGCCUCAAAAUAAUUGGCAGCCGGCGUAUUGAUUUCGGAGCGCAGUACAUCUCGCGCUUUGCACUCAUAACGACGACGUCCAAAAGUACAUUUUUACACUCUUGACCUCGGAUCAGGUAGGGAUACCCGCUGAACUUAAGCAUAUCAAUAAGCGGAGGA
rnacentral:misc_RNA from 1 species